CAAAAACCGUUACUGGCAAACAGUAAUCUCCGUCUCUCGCUGCGGUUUACACUGUUUUAGAAACGGUUUAGUGUCUUCGGAAAAGUCCGUUAUCAUUUUAGCAGUUUUCAGGUAACGUUAGGCUAACUCUAUAGACUGAGCUCUUGUUGAUGAAACUCUGGGCUUUUAAUCAAAUCUUCGAUUUGAUUAAAACAAAAUGAUUUUUAAAUUAAUUAUUGAAUGAUUAUUGAAUGAGACUGUACAUUAUAAAUGUAAUGUUUUAACUCUAGAUGUUUGUUUGUGUAAAUGCUGUGUGUGCGGUGAGUUCUGCGCGAGUGGGGAGCAGAGUUGCCAUGGAAACGGGGCGUCAACACAAAAACCGUUACUGGCAAACAGUAAUCUCCUUCUCUCGCUGCGGUUUACACUGUUUUAGGAGGACAGAAAGAAACUCUACAGAACAGAAGUGAAGCUCCAAGAUUUCAACAUUUAUGAAGGGAGAUACUGACUUAGAAAUACAGGUGAACUGAAGAAGCUCAUGAAAUACAUGAAUAUGCCUUUUUCAGAAUACAUUUCACCAAUUUUAAGAAGUCCCUGACAUCAUGACCUUGUUUCCUUCUAAUGAACCUGGAACUGCAGAGUAAAUAUUGUUGACUCUGUGUCAGAUUGCUUGUGAUGACGAUCAGAGCCUGAGUGAACCUGCUGUCAGACAGGUUGGCCUGAUUGACGAUGCCAUCGUCCAUCGCCGAUGGCUGAUAGACAUCACGAUGCUGCGCCGGCAAACAGCGUCAUCAGCUCCAGUAUCUCGCCCGUGCAUCUGUUGUCAUGCGACAGAGAAGUCACGUUCUAUAGACAGUUUCUACAGACAGUUGUGAACGUGCUGACAGCUGGUUGCCCAGGCUAUGGAUUAAAGGUAAUACUGUUGGCCAGCAGAGCCCUGCUCACCCUGACGGCCCACCGCUGCUGUCAGACAACAUCUCAAAGAUGCUAUAAACUGCAGGACUAGAUGGCCAUCCCAAGGUUUCUAGAGAUUACACCAGCUCCAGACUGAAUCCAGACUCACUUGUGAAGACUUCAGAUGACACCAACGCUCACAAAGACUACAGACGACAACUGUACAUGAACACACAAAACAUUGGACACACAAAACAAUUAUUAUCCUU